AGGAGCUUGCGUCACAUUAGUUAGUUGGUGGGGUAAAGGCCUAACAAGACUAUGAUGUGUAGCCGGGCUGAGAGGUUGAACGGCCACAUUGGGACUGAGACACGGCCCAAACUCCUACGGGAGGCAGCAGUAGGGAAUUUUCGGCAAUGGAGGAAACUCUGACCGAGCAACGCCGCGUGAACGAUGAAGUAUUUCGGUACGUAAAGUUCUUUUAUUAGGGAAGAAUAAAUGAUGGAAAAAUCAUUCUGACGGUACCUAAUGAAUAAGCCCCGGCUAACUAUGUGCCAGCAGCCGCGGUAAUACAUAGGGGGCAAGCGUUAUCCGGAAUUAUUGGGCGUAAAGGGUGCGUAGGCGGUUAAAUAAGUUUAUGGUCUAAGUGCAAUGCUCAACAUUGUGAUGCUAUAAAAACUGUUUAGCUAGAGUAAGAUAGAGGCAAGUGGAAUUCCAUGUGUAGUGGUAAAAUGCGUAAAUAUAUGGAGGAACACCAGUAGCGAAGGCGGCUUGCUGGGUCUUUACUGACGCUGAGGCACGAAAGCGUGGGGAGCAAACAGGAUUAGAUACCCUGGUAGUCCACGCCGUAAACGAUGAGUACUAAACGUUGGGUAAAACCAGUGUUGAAGUUAACACAUUAAGUACUCCGCCUGAGUAGUACGUACGCAAGUAUGAAACUUAAAGGAAUUGACGGGACUCCGCACAAGCGGUGGAUCAUGUUGUUUAAUUCGAAGGUACCCGAAAAACCUCACCAGGUCUUGACAUGCUUCUGCAAAGCUGUAGAAACACAGUGGAGGUUAUCAGUUGCACAGGUGGUGCAUGGUUGUCGUCAGCUCGUGUCGUGAGAUGUUGGGUUAAGUCCCGCAACGAGCGCAACCCUUAUUGUUAGUUACCAGCACGUAAUGGUGGGGACUUUAGCAAGACUGCCAGUGAUAAAUUGGAGGAAGGUGGGGACGACGUCAAAUCAUCAUGCCCCUUAUGACCUGGGCUACAAACGUGAUACAAUGGCUGUUACAAAGGGUAGCUGAAGCGCAAGUUUUUGGCGAAUCUCAAAAAAACAGUCUCAGUUCGGAUUGAAGUCUGCAACUCGACUUCAUGAAGUUGGAAUCG
rnacentral:rRNA from 1 species